GUGUGCUUUGUGCUCCAGAGUCCUGGGAUAUGAUCAGGCUGAGGUGAAACUUUGGGUGAGACCACAUUCUUGUCUAACCUGCUUUCUUCCUCAUCUGUUUCUCCAGAGAGGACACCCUCCAUGCACUACAUGCUCUGGUUUAAGAUAAGUUUUGUAAAGAGAUGACCUGUAUCAUAGAAGCCAAAAGUCCAACUGUUUCCUCAUUGGCUGGAGCUGGCCUACUUUGCCUUCUUGACUCACAGAUCCAGAUCUGAAGGAUCAAUUUAUAGAGAAAUAGAGCUACAAAAGGGAGUGUUUCUGGGAUGAAAGCCCCAAAGUUGUCUUCUUGAGACCAGAUGGGAUGAGAUUGAGAUUGGAGGAAGGUCUUAUAGCUCUCCUGAUACAAACAUUCAGAGCUGUUAUGAAGAAUUACAUGAGAUGGACAAUUUUCUGGC